rnacentral:rRNA from 1 species
ACGAAAAGCACUUUGAAAAGAGGGUGAAAAGAGCCUGAAACCGUCACGGGGGAAGCGGAUUGCGUUGGAUUGGUGGGCGCCUGCGUGUUCAGCCGGAAUCGGUGCAUUGGCGCAGGUGCUUAUCUGCCGUGGGCUCGCGGCGGCCGAGGAUGGGCUGCUGCGGGCUGAGGGCUCCCUUGUAUUUGUUUUUUUUUAUGAAAAAGAGGUGAGGACGGUGGAGCGACGACGCGAUACGACCCGUCUUGAAACACGGACCAAGGAGUCUAGCGCGGGUGCGAGUCAGAGGGUGCAAGCCCGUGGGCAAAGUGAAAGCGAGUUUUUAAGAAAACGAGCAGUUUGAGGCGGCAUGAGAUCGUUGAUCUCAAGACCGACCUAGAGCAGUUGCGCUGGGACCCGAAAGAUGGUGAACUAUGCCUGAGUAGGGCAAAGCCAGAGGAAACUCUGGUGGAGGCUCGUAGCGGUGCUGACGUGCAAAUCGCUCGUCCAACUUGGGUAUAGGGGCGAAAGACUAAUCGAACCAUCUAGUAGCUGGUUCCCUCCGAAGUUUCUCUCAGGAUAGCGGGGCGACGAGUAGGUUGUUUUGUGC